GUGGGGAAUUUUGGACAAUGGGCGAAAGCCUGAUCCAGCAAUGCCGCGUGCAGGAUGAAGGCCCUCGGGUUGUAAACUGCUUUUGUACGGAACGAAAAGCCUGGGGCUAAUAUCCCCGGGUCAUGACGGUACCGUAAGAAUAAGCACCGGCUAACUACGUGCCAGCAGCCGCGGUAAUACGUAGGGUGCAAGCGUUAAUCGGAAUUACUGGGCGUAAAGCGUGCGCAGGCGGUUUUGUAAGACAGUGGUGAAAUCCCCGGGCUCAACCUGGGAACUGCCAUUGUGACUGCAAGGCUAGAGUGCGGCAGAGGGGGAUGGAAUUCCGCGUGUAGCAGUGAAAUGCGUAGAUAUGCGGAGGAACACCGAUGGCGAAGGCAAUCCCCUGGGCCUGUACUGACGCUCAUGCACGAAAGCGUGGGGAGCAAACAGGAUUAGAAACCCCGGUAGUCC
rnacentral:rRNA from 1 species